ensembl:lncRNA
GCUUUUCCUCAUCGCGAAGCGGUUUGCUUUAUCCCAGUACACGCAGUUAAACAAGAUUAAACAGCAGCAAUACGCAUUUGCCCCUCAAAAGAAUUCAGGUUAUAUGAAAUCAACACCCAUGCGCAUGUUUCAGAAUAGGCAUUUAUAGUUCAGUACUUCUAAUUAUUUUUAAGUGUAUACGGCCAAGUCUUUCUCUCGGUUACAGGAAAGCCUUUUGGAUAACAUCUGGUACCUCUCUUUGCAUUUAAACCUCUCAAUAGCUGUUGGUCCCAGUUGAUUCUUGUCAGAAUAGUGAAUAAAUAUAACUCCUUAAACGUAUGCGUAUAUAUUAUUUUUUAUGUAUGCAUAUAUAUAAAAUAAGAGAUUUUCAUAAGCAUUUCCAAGCAAACAGGUGCUAGGCUUUCUCCAUACCAACUCCCAGUUCUCUGAUGGACUCAACUCUGCACAGCGCUCGGAGCAUCUCAGAACAGCCAAACCACUGCCAGCUUCAAACAAACGAGAAAAUUUAUCAGUAAAACAAGACAAAAAUGAAAGCAACAGGCUGAAUGGGAAGAGAUGGAAGGAGGGGUGGCUGUGCUUCUGGGAUUCGGGAGCCUGGUAGCAGGUGUUCUGAGCGUCAACACCAUUUCCUAUCAUACCUGGGAGCUUCUUGGCACCUUCUUUUUCUCCUUCCAACCAGGAAACAAGUGGGUGAUACAAAAAUGUGUAUCUCAAUACCUAAAAUCAAU